GAUGAAGAACGCAGCGAAAUGCGAUAAGUAAUGUGAAUUGCAGAAUUCAGUGAAUCAUCGAAUCUUUGGACGCACAUUGCGCCCGCUAGUAUUCUGGCGGGCAUGCCUGUCCGAGCGUCAUUUCAACCCUCAAGCCCCCGGGCUUGGUGUUGGGGAUCGGCGAGCCUCCGCGCCCGCCGUCCCCUAAAUCUAGUGGCGGUCUCGCUGUAGCUUCCUCUGCGUAGUAGCACACCUCGCACUGGGAAACAGCGCGGCCACGCCGUUAAACCCCCAACUUCUGAACGUUUGACCUCGGAUCAGGUAGGAAUACCCGCUGAACUUAAGCAUAUCAAUAAGCGGAGGA
rnacentral:misc_RNA from 1 species